GCGUAACGAGAAGAAAGCUGAGCACAGAGGAGAGAAGACGCGAGUCGAUCUUUGCGAUCAAAACUAGAAGUAUAUAGUUGAAGAAAAGUAGAAAACCGUUAAUUUGAUUAAUUUCAUACCGUGCAGCGUAUGGAGAAGCCGAGUGAAUGUUGUUGAGUCACAUUUCACUCCAGGCUUAUAGUGAAUCGCGUGGGUAUUCAUCUUUCACCAACGCCAUUGCUGGCCGACGCGUGCCUGUGAGACGUGCUUGGGUGAAAGUAAAAGACGCUAAAUAUAGAGUUCACCGGCGCCAUUAUUGGUCACAUGCGCCUGUGUGAGGAAGACAGAUAGAAUUGUUCUAGAGGCCAGGUUUUUUUUGUCCCUUUUCUUUUUUUUUUCUUCUUCUUGUAUUUCUAUUUUUUUUCCUUGGUUCUGGAUUGUGAUCUUCUGCGAUAUCCUGUGAAAUUCACGUUUGAUGGCGAGCCACCCGAAUCUGCUACAGAGAGGAAAAGACUACAAUUCAUAAAGAAGAGGACAAUAUCCUUUCUUUCAUUCUCCAGUCUUGCUUUAAGCAAGACAAUUCCUAUUAGAGACUAUUGAAUACUUUUUUUUUUUUUGAGAUUGACAAAUACAGGGAUUGACAGGAAAUUGAUCCGUGCUUUGAAGAGCAUUGAACACUCUUGGUGUAUGGUUACCCAUAGCCGUAAGUUGAUUGAAAUUGAUAUGUGAUAUUUUGAGAAAAGUGUUUUAAAAGAGAAAAAAGACACCACUCCUUUAUUGAGUAUUUUUUGUUUAUUUUAUUUUAUUUCUUUUUGACAUUUAAUUUACCAGUCUGUACAAUACUUUUCUGUUUCCUGGGGUAAAAAAAAGAAGAGUGCACUCUCAAGAGGGGAUUUUCAUGCUUGAGAUUUGUAUCAUUGCCUGAUAUUGUAUUUAACCUGAUUAUAAUUCUCACUGGAAAUCUAAUUACAUACCAGUUUGCGUCUAACUUGUGUUGUCUGUUGUUUCUCACUACAACCUGCUACCUCCUUUACGACUCUUAAAAUCUUCUGAUAAAUCUAUUUGCACCAACAGCAAUUCAUUUAAUUAAUUAAUUGUUAAAUUCUUUAAACACCUGU